GUCGUUCCAUGCUCUCACAUAAAUGAUAACGAACGAAAAGUAGAUCUAAUCGUCGUUCCAGAGAUAGAAUUAAAUUAACCGUCGUUCAAAAGAGUGUUUAUAGCAAUGAAGCUGAAAGAAAACGGACAUGUUGUUGAUUUUUUAGAACACUUCAAAAGAAAACUUGAUUGCAGAAUUAAUUGCCUAAAAGUGGAAAGAUGUUUUAGAGAAAGUUUCACAGGUCUGGUGUUGGGAGGUGAAGAUGGCCUUGUUCGAGUGUAUGAUAUGACUCAGCUCACACAGGGCAACCAGCCAGUAAAUGUGCUGCUGGAAACAAAAGGUGGACCAAUACAGGCAUUGGCAAUCCAUGACAUCACUCAUUUCUAUAAGGAGGACAUCAUAACUGGGGACUCAGUUGGCAUGGUGACCAUAUUCUGCAAUGAGCAAAUCUUGUCAAGGCACUCACUGUCAAAGAGUACCAUCAAAUGCCUACAGAUUUAUACAGAUGCCUUGGGUAACUGCUACAUAGUUGUUGCUGAUGAUGCAGGCUAUAUUUACGCCAUUCAGCCAUCAAAACAGCUGUGGAGAAUCAACAUCAAUAACGUUCACACAUCUCGGGGGCCAUUAGAGCGUGCCAGUGUGACGUGCAUGCUGUGUGUGCCUCUUCCCAAUGGCACUGGCCAGCUGUGCAGCUACAUUCUCGCAGCAGAUGACAAACGCCGUCUACAUGUGAUAUCCCAGGGAGACAUUGUGAUGACCAUUCACACACCAGAUACUGUCACAGCAAUGUGUUGUGGAUUAUUCAUUGCCGAGGAGAAGCUAGAAGCUGGCCCAGAUACUUUUUCCCACCAACAUCCUGUACAAGUUGCACUGGGCUGCACAAGUGGGGCCUUAUAUAUUCUUCAGAACUUCACAAUAUCAGAGGAAGAAUUUGGUAACGCUGGUUGUCACAUCAGCCAGAUGUUGAGCCAUCCAGCAGUGAAUGGCAAGAUAGAUUACCUGCUGUGUGCUGGACACUUCAGCGCCUUGCAAGUGUUUUUGGAGGGCAAGCAAAUUGGCAGCUAUGAGACUCCAAACUGGGUGAACUGCAUGGAUAUCUUGUGUCCUGGCAAGGAUCAGAGACCACAGAUUGUGUUUGCCUGUCUCGACAAUUCUGUUCAUGGAGUAUCUCUCGCAGAAGGCUGAAAAGUUGUUGUUGAAUGAAUUCUCCAACAGUGUUAACUAUAUGACUCUAGAAGGGUGAAUAUUGUGAUCUGAGUAUUCAACUGAUUGCAUGUCGAACCUUUGCAAUCGAUAUUGAGAUCUGAAGCCUGAACAAUAGUACUUUUCUCACCUUCAACUGGAAUGGCAAGUGCAUCCAUAAGACUGAUAAUGCAAUGUUGCUUUUACAAUUCAACAGAAAGUGUGCUCAUUAUUUGGUGGACAAAAUGGGCAAGUGGAAAACAGUACAUGUAUUCAAUAAGAAAAAGGGUAUGGUCCUUAUAAGUAUAUAAUGCCAACACACAUGAAUGUUAUCCUUUCAGACAGUUGUACAAUUUGUGUAUUAAUACUCCAAAUUAAUCUAACUAAAAUUAACAUUGCAAAUUUUAAUAUGUUUGAAUUCUUCAAUAAUAACUUAUCACAUUAUUGUUGGCAUAUACUUAACAUGGAAGUUGGGAAAAUUGUCUUGUUAUAUUCAACACAAACUUUGUACAAAAUCUCAGACUGUUGUGCAGGUUUUUAUAAAAAUAUUGGAAGAAUAUGAGACAUUUUUUUUUCUUUUUUUUAAACUUAUUCAAUAAAAUUUAUUCAUUAAUUGGCUGUAAAGUCUUCAUUAAUAUUGGGACUUCAUAUCUUUGGGACACCUUUCUUUUUCUAAAGCAUUUUGUUAUAAGCAUGUAUACCUACUAUUUAAAUUGUAACUUUUUGCUCUUCAUGUGGUUAAAUUGUUUGUAAUAAUUAAACAUUCACUUUCAGUAUAUUGCUUGAACUUAGCCCGAGACAGGCUCAGGGCUUUGAUAAACCUUUAAAUGCCCAAUUUCUGGGCGUCUUAAUCUGAUUUCGGAAGUUUAAGUCUCAGCAGUAAUUUGUACUUGCAACUAGCUCGACUGGGCUAUAGCUUAGAAAUAUCGCAAGCCCAAAUCAGUUUCAAUUAUGAUUAUCUGUAUUCAUUUAUUGUGUGACAAAGCAGAGAAAAAAUGGACGUCCAUUCAUAAGUUUGAGCUCUUAUUAUAAAUAUUUCUUUCAUUUUCGAACAAACAUUAUUUAAACUAUAUUUUCACACUUACUUGGUCGAGGUAGGAUAAAGGAUACAAGUGCAAUCAUUUUUAGCUCAUCUAUUUUUUUAUUUUUUUUAAAUUAGCUCAUCUAUUUUUUGAAAAAAAAAUGAGCUAUUGUCAACACCUUGGUGUAGACGUUGGCGUCUGCGUCGGCGUUCGGUUAAGUUUUGCGUUUAGGUCCACUUUUCUCAGAAAGUAUCAAUGAUGUUGCAUUCAAACUUGGUACACUUACUUACUAUCAUGAGGGGACUGGGCAGGCAAAGUUAGAUAGCUCUGGCGUGCAUUUUGACAGAAUUAUGUGCCCUUUUUAUACUUAGAAAAUUGAAAAUUUUGGUUAAGUUUUGUGUUAUGGUCCAUUUUAUUCCUUAAGUAUCAAAGCUAUUGCUUUCAUACUUGCAACACUUACUAACUAUCAUAAGGGGACUGUGCAGGCAAAGUUAUGUAACUCUGACUGGCAUUUUGACAGAAUUAUGUGCCCUUUUUAUACUUAGAAAAUUAAAAAUUUGGUUAAGUUUUGUGUUUAGGUCCACUUUAUUCCUACAGUAUCAAAGCUAUUGCUUUCAUACUUGCAACACUUAUUAACUAUCAUAAGGGGACUGUGCAGGCAAAGUUAUGUAACUCUGACUAGCAUUUAGACGGAAUUAUGGGCCCUUUAUACUUAGAAAAUUGAAAAUUUGGUUAAGUUUUGUGUUUUGGUCCACUUUAUCCCUAAAGUAUCAUAGAUAUUGCUUUCAUACUUGGAACACUUGCAAACUAUCAUAAGGGUACAGUAAAAGGAGAAGUUGCAUAACACUGGUUGUCAUUUUUACGGAAUUAUGGCCCUUUUUUGACUUAGUAACUUUGAAUAUAUGGUUAAAUUUUGUGUUUCGAUCCACUUUUCUUCUAAAGUAUCAAGGCUAUUGCUUUCAAACUUCAAAUACUUUCAUGCUAUCAUGAGGUUACUGUACCUGGCAAGUUGAAUUUUACCUUGACCUUUGAAUGACCUUGACUCUGAAGGUCAAAUUAUUAAAUUUUGCUAAAAUU